rnacentral:rRNA from 1 species
UACGGAGGGUGCAAGCGUUAUCCGGAUUCACUGGGUUUAAAGGGUGUGUAGGCGGAUUAUUAAGUCAGUGGUGAAAUCUCCGGGCUCAACCCGGAAACUGCCAUUGAUACUAUUAGUCUUGAAUUCUGUUGAGGUGGGCGGAAUAUGUCAUGUAGCGGUGAAAUGCUUGGAUAUGACAUAGAACACCGAUUGCGAAGGACAGCUCACUAAGCAGAUAUUGAACGCUGGAGGCAACGAAAGCGUGGGGAUCAAACAGG